rnacentral:rRNA from 1 species
AUACGUAGGGGGCGAGCGUUGUCCGGAAUGAUUGGGCGUAAAGGGCGCGUAGGCGGCCCGGUAAGUCUGGAGUGAAAGUCCUGCUUUUAAGGUGGGAAUUGCUUUGGAUACUGUCGGGCUUGAGUGCAGGAGAGGUAAGUGGAAUUCCCAGUGUAGCGGUGAAAUGCGUAGAGAUUGGGAGGAACACCAGUGGCGAAGGCGACUUACUGGACUGUAACUGACGCUGAGGCGCGAAAGUGUGGGGAGCAAACAGGAUUAGAUACCCUGGUAGUCCACACUGUAAACGAUGAAUGCUAGGUGUAGGGGGUAUCGACCCCUUCUGUGCCGCAGUUAACACAAUAAGCAUUCCGCCUGGGGAGUACGGCCGCAAGGUUGAAACUCAAAUGAAUCGACGGGG